rnacentral:rRNA from 1 species
GUCGAGGAUCAUUCGCAAUGGGCGCAAGCCUGACGGUGCGACGCUGCGUGGAGGAUGAAGGCCUUCGGGUUGUAAACUCCUGUCAUUCGGGAACAACGGGUCCGGCAUUAAUACCGCCGGGCAGUGAUAGUACCGGAAGAGGAAGCCACGGCUAACUCUGUGCCAGCAGCCGCGGUAAUACAGAGGUGGCGAGCGUUGUUCGGAUUUACUGGGCGUAAAGGGUGCGUAGGCGGUUCCGUGUGUCGAAUGUGAAAUCUCACUGCUCAACGGUGAAAUGGCAUUCGAAACUGCGGUGCUAGAGUGCAGGAGAGGAGAGCGGAAUUCUUGGUGUAGCGGUGGAAUGCGUUGAUAUCAAGAAGAACACCGGUGGCGUAGGCGGCUCUCUGGAAUGCAACUGACGCUGAGGCACGAAAGUUGGGGGAGCAAACAGGAUUAGAAACCCUUGUAGUCC